UACGUAGGGUGCGAGCGUUGUCCGGAUUUAUUGGGCGUAAAGAGCUCGUAGGCGGGUUGGUAAGUCCGCUGUGAAAGCCCGGAGCUUAACUCCGGAGGGUCGGUGGAUACUGCCAGUCUUGAAGGUGCUAGGGGGAGAUGGAAUUACCGGUGUAGCGGUGAAAUGCGUAGAUAUCGGUAGGAACACCAGUGGCGAAGGCGGUCUCCUGGGGCAUUCUUGACGCUGAGGCGCGAAAGCUGGGGGAGCAAACGGG
rnacentral:rRNA from 1 species